GAUGAACGCUGGCGGCGUGCCUAAUACAUGCAAGUCGAGCGAACAGACGCUGAGCUUGCUCCUCUGACGUUUGCGGCGGACGUGUGAGUAACACGAGUAUAACCUACCUAUCAGACUGGUAUAACUUCGGGAAACCGGAGCUAAUACCGUAUAAUAUAUUGCACCGCAUGGUUCAAUAGUGAAAUACGGUUUUGCUGUCACUUAUAGCUGGAUCCGCGCCUCAUUAGCUAGUUGGUAGGGUAACGGCUUACCAAGGCAACGAUGCGUAGACGAGCUGCGAGGGGGAUAGGCGACCCUGGAGGUUGGACGCGGUCCAUACUCCUACGGGACGCAGCAGUAGGGUAUGUUCCGCAGUGGGCGAGAGCCUGACGCAGCAGCGCCGCGUGAGAGAUGAAGGUCUUCCGAGCGUAAAACUCUGUUAUUAGGGAAGAACAGAUGUGUAAGUAAAUAUGGACGGCUUGACGGUACCUGAUAAGAAAGCAACGGCUAACUACGUG
rnacentral:rRNA from 1 species